rnacentral:lncRNA from 1 species
AAUUUCUUGCAAAAUAAGCAAAGUUGCAUAAACAUGCAAAACCAUCAUCAAACAUAUGCAUAUUCCCUCCUAGAUGUUCAUUAAGCAUACUAAGAUGAAAAGACAUGUUUAUGAUAAAGAAAUUUCACCCAAACCCCAAAGAAAUUGGAUGAGAGAGUUCAGGAAUGGAGGCUAGACAUCUCCCCUCUCUUGGAUCACCCAAGCUUAUGCUUAACCACUCUCACCUUGGAUUGAAU